rnacentral:rRNA from 1 species
AUGAACGCUGGCGGCGUGCCUCAUACCUGCAAGUCGAGCGCACAGACGAGGAGCUUGCUCCUCUGACGUUAGCGGCGGACGGGUGAGUAACACGUGGAUAACCUACCUAUAAGACUGGGAUAACUUCGGGAAACCGGAGCUAAUACCGGAUAAUAUAUUGAACCGCAUGGUUCAAUAGUGAAAGACGGUUUUGCUGUCACUUAUAGAUGGAUCCGCGCCGCAUUAGCUAGUUGGUAAGGUAACGGCUUACCAAGGCAACGAUGCGUAGCCGACCUGAGAGGGUGAUCGGCCACACUGGAACUGAGACACGGUCCAGACUCCUACGGGAGGCAGCAGUAGGGAAUCUUCCGCAAUGGGCGAAAGCCUGACGGAGCAACGCCGCGUGAGUGAUGAAGGUCUUCGGAUCGUAAAACUCUGUUAUUAGGGAAGAACAAAUGUGUAAGUAACUAUGCACGUCUUGACGGUACCUAAUCAGAAAGCCACGGCUAACUACGUG